UGGGGAAUAUUGCGCAAUGGGCGAAAGCCUGACGCAGCAACGCCGCGUGCGGGAUGACGGCCUUCGGGUUGUAAACCGCUUUCACCCAUGACGAAGGGUUACCUUGACGGUAGUGGGAGAAGAAGCACCGGCUAACUACGUGCCAGCAGCCGCGGUGAUACGGAGGGUGCGAGCGUUGUCCGGAAUUAUUGGGCGUAAAGAGCUUGUAGGCGGUCCGUUGCGUCGGAAGUGAAAACUCAGGGCUCAACCCUGAGCCUGCUUUCGAUACGGGCAGACUUGAGGAAUGUAGGGGAGAACGGAAUUCCUGGUGGAGCGGUGGAAUGCGCAGAUAUCAGGAGGAACACCAGUGGCGAAGGCGGUUCUCUGGACAUUUCCUGACGCUGAGAAGCGAAAGCGUGGGGAGCAAACA
rnacentral:rRNA from 1 species